rnacentral:lncRNA from 1 species
UUCGACCAGUCUUUUGAGUUGAAAUAUGUUGAUCCGUGGAAGCAACAGCUGGGUCUUAUGGCUCUUUUCACUCUGUCUUAUCUGUUGAGUAACAAAGGACUUGAAUUUCCAAGGACUUUUUUUUUUUUUCAGCCUUAGCAAGAAAAGAAAGAAAAAAAAUCAGGAAAAGAAGGCUUUUGGGAACAUACGCCAUUUGUUAUUUUGAGCAAGUAGGUCUUCUUUAGAAGUCUUCCAAGAAGGUAAAGAUGACUUUCCAAAAGAAGGAAAAUUACUUAGCAUCUUCCACAUUUCAGGGAUGUAGCAGAAUUUGAUGAAGAGCAAAAGAUGUCUUUGCCGGGAGAGUCCAUCUUUAGGUCUACUGAUACAUCAGCAAAGCCUGGGAAACCUCAUGUUUUGGUCAGCUAUUGCCGCAACGGUGCUGCAUAACAAGCUCCACGACUACAGAGCUGAACGGCACAGAGUCUCUUCUUACAUUGAUGGGGAUGCACCCACAGCAUACUGCUGCCCUACACCACAGCCACAGCAACGCAGGAUCUGAGCCGCAUCUGCAACCUACACCACAGAUCAUGGCAAUGCCAGAUCCUUUAACCCACUGAGCAAGGUCAGGGAUUGAACCUGAGUCCUCAUGGAUAUUAGUCAGAUUCGUUAACCACUGAGCCACGAGGUGAAUUCCAGUUUUCAGACUUUUAAGGCGCUGUUAUAAAUAGCAAUCUCAUUUUCCAAUAUUUUUAAAAAAUUUCGGACUUGCACUUUAAUACUUUUUCCAUGACAUCUAACUGGCACAAUUACUAAAUAUGAAGGUAAGUUUAGUUUCUUUCUUUUUUUUUUAACUCCUGCUAAAUUUCUUGGCGUAGGUUGAUUUCUAUGUUAUAUUAGGUUCAAAUCUACAGCAAAGCCGAUCAGCUAUGCAUACGCAUAUAUCUACUCUUUUUUCCCACGUAGAUUAUUACAGAACAUUGGGUAGACCUCCCUGUGCUAUAAUGGUAGGUCCUUGUAAGUUAUCUAUUUUAUAUACAACAGUGUAUGUGUCUUAAUCCCAAUCUCCCAAUUUAUCCCUCCCCUUUACCGUUCCCCUUUGGUAACCUUAAGUUUAAUUUCAAAAUCUGUGAAUUUGUUUCCAUAAAUUUGUUUUAUAAAUAAGUUCUGGAGUUCCCGUCGUGGCGCAGUGGUUAACGAAUCCGACUAGGAACCAUGAGGUCGCGGGUUCGGUCCCUGCC